GCGCCUGUAGCCCAAUUGGAUAGAGCGCUUGGCUACGGACUAAGAGGCUGGGGGUUCGAAUCCCUCCAGGCGCA
rnacentral:tRNA from 1 species